rnacentral:rRNA from 1 species
AUGCAAGUCGAGCGAAUUGUUGAGUUUACUCAACAGUUAGCGGCGGACGGGUGAGUAACACGUGGGCAACCUGCCUAUAAGACUGGGAUAACUUCGGGAAACCGGAGCUAAUACCGGAUAUGUUCUUUUCUCGCAUGAGAGAAGAUGGAAAGACGGCGUCUCGCUGUCACUUAUAGAUGGGCCCGCGGCCCAUUAGCUAGUUGGUGAGGUAAUGGCUCACCAAGGCAACGAUGCGUAGCCAACCUGAGAGGGUGAUCGGCCACACUGGGACUGAGACACGGCCCAGACUCCUACGGGAGGCAGCAGUAGGGAAUCUUCCGCAAUGGACGAAAGUCUGACGGAGCAACGCCGCGUGAACGAUGAAGGCUUUCGGGUCGUAAAGUUCGGUUGUUAGGGAAGAACAAGUACCAGAGUAACUGCUGGUACCUUGACGGUACCUAACCAGAAAGCCACGGCUAACUACGUGCCAGCAGCCGCGGUAAUACGUAGGUGGCAAGCGUUAUCCGGAAUUAUUGGGCGUAAAGCGCGCGCAGGUGGUUCCUUAAGUCUGAUGUGAAAGCCCCCGGCUCAACCGGGGAGGGUCAUUGGAAACUGGGGAACUUGAUUGUAGAAGAGGAAAGUGGAAUUCCACGUGUAGCGGUGAAAUGCGUAGAGAUGUGGAGGAACACCAGUGGCGAAGGCAACUUUCUGGUCUAUAACUGACACUGAGGCGCGAAAGCGUGGGGGAGCAAACAGGGAUUAGAUACCCCUGGUAGUCCCACGCCGUAAAACGAUGAGUGCUAAGUGUUAGAGGGUUUCC